GCCCGUUACAAUUUUAUGAACCCACGUUUUCCUUCAAUCAGCGUACAGUUCUCCCCUCCUUCCUCCAGGGUUAGAUCCAGGGAAGACAACUAGAUCGCUCCCACUUCUUCCUCUUGCCUCCUCUGUGCUUGGAUCUAUGUUUCCCCACCCCCAAUGCUGAUCCUUCUCGCCUCGAUGUCCAAGAGCUCCGAUAUGUCGUCCACCGAGCCCCGGUGCUCAGAUCACAACACGUGCGUGUCCUCACUCUCUCUAUUCGCUUACGCGUCCGAAUUUGAUGAGCUCGGCCGGGGUGGCUGGCUGUGGUGGGGGCGCAGAUGCCAAAGGAUUUGGCGGGCGUAGCAGGGUGUCGUUCCCACGGGCAUCCCUGGAUCAGGAUUGUGGAAGUGAGUGCCAUGGGGCAGGAGCUAGACGUGAAGGUGCCAUUGCUGCAUGAUGAGGGUGUGGAUUCCAUGAAAGCAUAUGACUGAAUUGAGCUUCUUCUAAGCAUUUUUUUAUGAUGGGGCAUUCAAAGCUGGUGAAUUGGACUAGAUAUUGAGUUUACAGGAGCAGUCAGGGAUAAUAUGCAUGGUUCUGUAAUUAGUGUGGAAACCUGAGCAAGACGUAAGGCGUGUUUCUAAAAAUGUUCUUAGGACCAGUAAAUCUACGGACAACAAGGAAGAUUGUGCAACAGAAGGUGAAGGAGGAUAGAAGGCAGAAGGGGGAUGGACGGGCGACAACGACAUUGGUGCGGCGAUAAAGUUGGUGAGCACAGAAGGGGAGCUAGGUGUGCCAGUGACACUGGGGCAACACAGAAGGGGGCAGGCGACAAAGUCAGGGUGAGUACAAUAAGGGUACGGCGACGACGGAGUCGAGCGCUUCUACCUUGUGUCGAUCCGAUACAACGAUAAUAGAACAGAAGUGGAAUUGGAUUGUUUUAGAGAGUUGUGGAGUUGGAUUGUUUGGCGGGAUGGUGGAUGUGUGCUGUAUUUUUGUCUUCACGUAUUUAUUAUUUAUUUCAAUUCUCAUCAUAUUCAGUAUAUAUAUAAGAAGACAAAAAUUGAGGUGGGGCCACGGCCCUCUUUGCCCACCCCGUGCAUCCGCCCCUGCUUGCCAUAUAGUUUUUUAUGAAGUGACCAGCUAUCUGAUUCUUGUUCCCUGUAUGUGUCACCGGGAAAGUGUCCACUGGCGAAGGAGACAUCUGGAAACUGGAAUCAUGUAGCCUCUGUUCUGCAAGGUCGCUAAAUCCCUUCCUGGACUGUAUGCGCCUUCACCAGCAAAGCAGGAAGACAUGGCCUACAUAAACCUCAGACCUGCUAGCAGGAUGUUGGCUUCAGGCAGCUGUGCAACAGCUGAGUUGAAAUCAAAUGGUUGCUCCAUUGAGACUUGGACAUUUUUGUGUUUAGAGAAUGUUUGAUGAUUUAUGCUUCAA